AUCAGAGUAGAAAAUAAAGCGUCAAGUGCUGAAAGGAUGGGAUGUUGCCUUUCGGACGAAGUAUGAAGUAAAAGAAACACGAACUAACUCUUCGGAAAAAAGAUAACUCAUUCUCGUGCCAAAAAGCGUCACAAUAAUGAUUUCCUAUUUUUCGGU
rnacentral:ncRNA from 23 species